rnacentral:rRNA from 1 species
GACGAACGCUGGCGGCGUGCCUAAUACAUGCAAGUAGAACGCAGAUGCGAACGCGUGAGUAAAGCGUAUGUAACUGCCUCAUAGCAGGGGAUAACUAUUGGAAACGAUAGCUAAUACCGCAAUCUGUGAGAUGGACCUGCGUUGUAGUAGGUAGUUGGGGAGGUAAAGGCUCACCAAGGAGACGAUACAUAGCGGACCUGGGAGGGUUAUCUGGCAAACUGGGAUUGAGGCAUGGCACAGACUCUGAAGGGAGGCAGCAGUAGGGAAACUUAGGAAAUGGACGGAAGUCUGAGCGAACAACGCCGCCUGAGUGAAGAAGGUGUUCGGAUUGUAAAGCUCUGUUCUUAGAGAAGCGGUAACCAACCAGAAAGGGACGGCUAACUACGUGCCAGCAGCCGCGGUAAUAC